rnacentral:rRNA from 1 species
CGGCAACAGCUCAAAUUUGAAAUCUGGCCCCUAGGGUCCGAGUUGUAAUUUGCAGAGGAUGCUUUUGACAAGGUGCCUUCCGAGUUCCCUGGAACGGGACGUCAUAGAGGGUGAGAAUCCCGUAUGUGACUGGCUGCCUUCGCCUAUGUGAAGCUCUUUCGAC